ensembl:lncRNA
CCCUGCUCCCGGCCACGCCCCCGCGGGGUGCUGGCGCGAGCUGUGUGUCACGCGCCCCCCGCCCCCGUCCCUUCCCGCAGAUCCGAGGUGCGGCGAGGGACGGGGGCGUUAGGGACCCCUAGAGAGGGCGUGGGUGAUCGGAUGAGCUCCGAGGGCUCCAAACAUUCCUUGACUCUUUGGGGCUGCAGGCAAGAUUGGCGGCUGUCUCACCCGUCCCGGCCGGGUGAGCUCGGUUCACGAUUUUGUCACUCGGUGCCGGAAAUCAGGGAAACAGCCGUCCCCAGCCGAACCCUAGUUUAUAUUUUAUAGGCUCGAACUGCAAAUUCUCGCCCAUGGCGCGGUGGAAAGCUCUGAGGCUCUGGGAUCAGUGCUGCCCCUCGGGGGAUAAGUGACCUUGGGAAGGUCACUUCCCUUUGCCCAGCCGGCCGGCUAGAAAGAACUGGUGGGGGUGCGGGGCGUGAUCGCGCUGUUUGCAGCAGUCUCAGGUGUGUGAGGGGGGUCGUCCGUCACCUUAGAACUGUCCCCUAUCCCCGGGCGUCAUGGAAUGCCCGUGAAGCUCGCUGAUGACCCCUACAAUUCCGAUCCUGACAGUAGCCGGAAUUGGGUGGCUCUUGCAGCCUCGCUGGGCUGAGGCGCUUAAUUCACUCAGUUAACGGAUGACUGAAUGGAUCCCAGGCAAAUUACCUUCGGAUUUCACCUUCCUAAAUCCGGAUCCCCGCAAUUCCUCUUGCAGGCGGAAGGAAGAAUAUUGCGAUGAUUAAUAACCGCGCAGCAGGGUUGCUGAGACCGAGUACGAAGGCAGCUCAGAUUGAGAAGACCCGGCCUCAGAGAUCCCCAGCGGCUGGUUAGAGGAGUCUGGGAUCCUUCCCCUCUGAUUGUACUCGGAGCUAGAGCGGUAGAAGCGGCAGCUCUGCCCCCUGGUGGACAUGGGAGGCACAGCGCCCUUCUCCAACUCAGAAGCCCCACCGUGGUGCUGCAGGAGAGGAAGGAAGCCCUCUUUGUUCCCUCUGAUAGAGCAAAAUUUGGCACAGGAAAAAUAAUCCCUUUCUGGCUUAAUUCUGAGGAUCUGGUCAGUUUGGAUGCAGAAAAGAUUUGUAUUGUUUCUCUUGCCUGGACUCUGCCGUUCCUUCAUGCUAUCCAAACCCUACCCCUUUUCCAACCCGUUUCAAGUUCCACCUCCUUCAUAACAACUUUUCUGACUCUCCUCGCCUAUAUGUCUUCUAAAUACAUUGGUGCACAGACCCAGCAUGCAGAGUGCACACUUACAUAUGUCUUCAGUGUUGUUUCCUUGAGGGUGGGAAGCAGGUUUUGUGUCUUCGUGUUUGUAGACUCCAUGUUGCACAGCACAGGGCUGGGGACAGAAACUGCUCUCAGUAAGCUCUUGCUGAUUAAUUGGUACAUUAAUUAACUAAUCUCUGCAAACACAAACUCUAAGCCUUUGCUUCGACAGACCUUCCAGAACUGUCAGAUCUUUGGGGGACUCUAGAUAGUGACCUAACCAAAUACCGCCUUGCACAAUGAGUAGUUCCACAAAGCUAGUUUCACAAGAGAACACCACCAAGACCCAGAGAGGGAUGAGGAAGUUCGAAGCAGACUCUCAGGGAGAGACUCGGAGGGAGGAGGGUGGCCAUGUGGAAAGGCCGAAGGACAAAGAAUUUGGAGGGAGAGGCCUCUGCUCCUGGGCUCAGAGAGGCAGCCCAAGCAUCCAUCAGCCCGGGCCACAUGCUGUGUGGCUUUAGGCAAGCUUACUCCCUCUCUGGGUGUCAGUUUCUCAUCUGUAUAAAUAAGUACCCAUCUCCUAGCAAUAGGAGGAGGAUAAAUUGAGUUGCUAUUUGCCAAGUGCCAGGCACAAAAGUACUAUAUGACGGUUUGUAAAUGAAUUUUCCAGCUCAGUUGUCUUGAAAAUGGGAUGGGAUACGAUCUCUUAAGUUGGUUCCCUUCGCACCAGCCUUCCAGGACAGCACAUGAACUUUGGGGUCGGGCAGGCCUGAGUUGCCGCUUGUCUCUGUUAGCAGUUGUGUGACUUUGGGAAAAUUGCUUUACUUCUUGGAGCCUCGGUGUUCUCUUCUGUGAAAUGAGGAUGAUUGUGUCCACCUCAAAAGACUGAUGUGUGUGCUGCACGCUUGGACAGUACGUGGCAUAGAGGAGCUUUAUAAACAGAAGUGGUGGUUAUUGCGGACCAGAGGAGCCAUACGUGGAGGAGAAGAGGGUCUCUAAAAUCUAUGACGUUUUGAGAAAGAGAACAUAUAGAACGGGAAGGAGGCCAGCUCAGCCCCAGAGCCUGAGGUUUGCGGCAGGCGGGGGAGGCCCUGGGUUUGGGCCAUGACUGGAUAUCACAGGCGCUGAAGAAACCCAGAACGGUUUGACUUGCACAUCAGCUCUAGGAACAUUUUCUGCCCGAGGCUUGUGCUGAGGGUGUGGACCCGGUGGGGCUAGGUGCCAGCUAUAGGCCCUUCUGCUCUCCUUCCCAGGAGGACGGUAGUAAGACAGGGCGUGGGCAGGGUGGGCCUCGGAAACCUGUCGUCGUCGAGCGUGCGUGUGUGGGAAUGGCCCAGAGACAUCCUGCCCGGUGACCCGGACUUCCAGGACCGGUGCGGCCCUCCCUCGCGGCAGAACCUGCCCGCACAGCUCCUUGACACUGCCAUUCCCAAACCUGUCCCAGGACACCCGGACUGAUUGCCCGCAGUUCUCCAAGGGCCGUGGGAAGGAGGGUGAUGGUAGUCCUGAAGCCAAAUUAACCUUACUUCCCUUCAGCUGCAGGUGUGGAAAAGCACUAAAUGGGAUAUGCAAAUGCUAUUUGUAUUCCUCUGAAUUCUUUUCGAAGUUGGGGUGGGGGGGAAGGUUGCAAAAUCCCAACCAUGAUGGGGUGUUGCAAUCCCAAGCACGCUGGGAAUCACUCUUAUGGUCCUCAUGCUGGUUGGCGCUUGUGCCCUGUGACCCACAAGGGGCUGUGUGCUCCCCGAUGGUGGGGUCUGUUCUAAGAGAGUCACUGUUCUGGGAUCCCAGACACAGUCUGAGACCUGGACAGAUGCACAUUAGGGGCUGUUUGGGGAUGACAUAGGAAUCUGUAAGCCCCAUGCCACACUCCUAUUUCUCGUGCUAGGUUGGGCUAGCAUCUAGAGUAGCACUCAAAGGAAAAAAUUAUCUGUAAAAAACCCAAACAAACAGGACCUAUCAAGAGUCACGAAGUUGCCAGUAUUAGUUGUCUGUGGGGGAAGAGGGGAUGUGUUUUUCUUCUUUUUGCUUGUUUGUGCAUUCUUGUACUUGUUUUACUUGUUUUUGGCAAGUACCUAUUGCUUUUGUAAGAAGAAGAGAUGUUUUUUUAAAUGUUCCCAGCAGAGCAAUUUGGUUUUUUUUUUUAAUAGAUAAUAAAUGGGAAGUUUCAAACCA